UACGGGGGGAGCAAGCGUUGUUCGGAAUUACUGGGCGUAAAGGGCGCGUAGGCGGCCUUCUAAGUCGAACGUGAAAUCCCUGGGCUCAACCCAGGAACUGCGUCCGAUACUGGGAGGCUUGAAUCCGGGAGAGGGAUGUGGAAUUCCAGGUGUAGCGGUGAAAUGCGUAGAUAUCUGGAGGAACACCGGCGGCGAAGGCGGCAUCCUGGACCGGUAUUGACGCUGAUGCGCGAAAGCCAGGGGAGCAACGGG
rnacentral:rRNA from 1 species